rnacentral:rRNA from 1 species
UACGGAGGGGGCUAGCGUUGUUCGGAAUUACUGGGCGUAAAGGGCUCGGUAGGCGGCCAACUAAGUCAGACGUGAAAUCCCUCGGCUUAACCGGGGAACUGCGUCUGAUACUGGAUGGCUUGAGGUUGGGAGAGGGAUGCGGAAUUCCAGGUGUAGCGGUGAAAUGCGUAGAUAUCUGGAGGAACACCGGUGGCGAAGGCGGCAUCCUGGACCAAUUCUGACGCUGAGGAGCGAAAGCCAGGGGAGCAAACGGGG